AAAGAACGCUGGCGGCAUGCUUAACACAUGCAAGUUGAACGAAUAGUAGCAAUACUAUGAGUGGCAAACGGGUGAGUAAUACGUAGGAAUCUACCCUGUAGUAUGGGACAACAGUUGGAAACGGCUGCUAAUACCAUAUACGCUCUUUUAGAGGAAGAUUUAUCGCUAUAGGAUGAGCCUGCGCUAAAUUAGGUUGUUGGUAGGGUAAUGGCCUACCAAGCCGAUGAUUUAUAGCUGGUCUGAGAGGACGAUCAGCCACACUGGAACUGAGACACGGUCCAGACUCCUACGGGA
rnacentral:rRNA from 1 species